rnacentral:rRNA from 1 species
AAUGAACGCUGGCGGCAGGCCUAACACAUGCAAGUCGAACGGAUCCUUCGGGAUUAGUGGCGGACGGGUGAGUAACGCGUGGGAACAUACCCUUUGGUACGGAAUAGCCUCGGGAAACUGGGAGUAAUACCGUAUGUGGUCGAGAGACGAAAGAUUUAUCGCCAAAGGAUUGGCCCGCGUUGGAUUAGGUAGUUGGUGGGGUAAUGGCCUACCAAGCCGACGAUCCAUAGUUGGUUUGAGAGGAUGAUCAGCCACACUGGGACUGAGACACGGCCCAGACUCCUACGGGAGGCAGCAGUGGGGAAUCUUAGACAAUGGGGAAACCCUGAUCUAGCCAUGCCGCGUGAUCGAUGAAGGCCUUAGGGUUGUAAAGAUCUUUCAGGUGGGAAGAUAAUGACUGUACCACCAGAAGAAGCCCCGGCUAACUCCGUGCCAGCCGCCGCGGUAA